rnacentral:rRNA from 1 species
AACGAACGUUGGCGGCGUGCCUAACACAUGCAAGUCGAGCGCGGGAGACUUCGGUCAAACGAGCGGCGCACGGGUGAGGAACACGUGAGUAAUCUGCCCUAGAGUCCGGGAUAACCGUCCGAAAGGAUGGCUAAUACUGGAUAAGCUCACGGAGGCGUAGGUCUCUGGGAGAAAAGCUCCGGCGCUUUAGGAUGAGCUCGCGUCCCAUUAGGUAGUUGGUGAGGUAAUGGCUCACCAAGCCUUCGAUGGGUAACUGGUCUGAGAGGAUGAUCAGUCACACUGGAACUGAGACACGGUCCAGACUCCUACGGGAGGCAGCAGUAGGGAAUAUUGGACAAUGGGCGGAAGCCUGAUCCAGCCAUCCCGCGUGUAGGAAUAAGGCCCUAUGGGUUGUAAACUACUUUAUUAGGGAAGAAAAACUUUAGAUUUAUCAGAGCUUGACGGUACCUAAGGAAUAAGCACCGGCUAACUCCGUGCCAGCAGCCGCGGUAAUGUCAGUG